UCCAGCUUCACAGACUAUCCUUGCCAGAAUGUUCUUUGUCAUACUCAAGCAAGACUUUCCAGUAUUUAUUCCCGGACUGCUUCCUUGUUGCCGACCUCGCCUGUCUUUGACUCUCCUGCUUCCCCUGCUCCCACUCAGCCUUCUGUCCCCGACCAAGAGCUCUGCUUCUACGUUCCUGGUUUCUUUUCUCCAUGGCUGUUUGGUGAGACUGUCCCGAGCUCUUCAUAGAUCCACUCAUCAUCGUCAUUGUCAAGACCCUCGCUGCCUACAGUCGGCUUCGCACAGGUGUGUUGGCUUCUCCCGUGUGUACUCCUGGUUCCGGAUUCCCUGCUCAUCAGACAUCGCCUUCUGCCUACUCCCUUACGGUACCAUUGCACACAUUUGAAUUGUUUGUGUGCAUCCAGCAGAUGCCACUGACACACCUGUUCUCUGCCUUGGUUUGCCACACCAAGCAGUUCGGACUGAACCUGAGUCUUGGAAGGUUCUGAGCCAACAAUUUGACUCUCACUGUUUUUUCAUCUGCCAGCUCACUCUGUGUUUGACAAGUGGUUUCAUUAAAGACUAUUAGAAACUGC